rnacentral:lncRNA from 1 species
UCCCUAUUGGAGGACAGGAUUAUGAUGAGUUCUACCAAUGACUACCUGUUGGUGUAAAGUGUCAUUGUAAGGAUAAGCAGCGAUAUGCUUUGAUGAUCAUUGUUGAUGGUUCUUCACUCUCCCCACUGAUGUGUUCUUGAUGCUACAUUCUGCAGGAAUGGAACGCAGAUUGACUUCCUGGCUGUGGAUGAGAACUUUGUGAUGCAGGGGUUCAUCAACCUGGAGACCAUUAAGACCAUCAAACCAGGUGAUGAGAUUGUGGUGGAGUUCACCUACAACUCAGCCACUCGCAAAGGAAUCACGCAGUGGGGCUGGCCACCACUGAUGAGAUGUGUCUGGCCUUUAUCAUCUACUACCCAGCAUCAGUGUUGACAAAGCUCGUGAAGCUAGAUUUUGGUUUUAAUUCAUUUCAUUCCAGCCAUUACAAUGAGCCAGGCCUCCUAUUGUUCCUCCUACCAGCCUCCACUGAUGUGUACAUAAAUGUAUCAAGGUGAAAUUAGGGGACAUUCUUUGGUUCCUGUAGAGAAAGGCUACUAGUGUCAACUGGGCUGAACUGAACUGCAAUCUAAUGGAUCAAACAAAGUAAAUUAGUUGAACUAUAAAUUAU